AGUCACUGACAUUAGAUACCCCUGUAGUCCCAGCCGUAAACUAUGCGCGUUAGGUGUAUCGGUGACCACGAGUUACCGAGGUGCCGAAGGGAAACCGUGAAACGUGCCGCCUGGGAAGUACGGUCGCAAGGCUGAAACUUAAAGGAAUUGGCGGGGAGCACCACAACAGGUGGAGCCUGCGGUUUAAUUGGAUUCAACGCCGGACAUCUCACCGGAUAAGACAGCUGAAUGAUUGUCAAUCUGAAGGUUUUACAUGACUAGCUG
rnacentral:rRNA from 1 species